UACGUAGGGAGCAAGCGUUGUUCGGAUUUACUGGGCGUAAAGGGCGCGUAGGCGGCGUGUCAAGUCGAUUGUGAAAUCUCCGGGCUUAACUCGGAACGGCCAAUCGAUACUGACGUGCUAGAGUGCAGAAAGGGCAAUCGGGAUUCUUGGUGUAGCGGUGAAAUGCGUAGAUAUCAAGAGGAACACCUGAGGCGAAGGCGGGUUGCUAGGCUGACACUGACGCUGAGUGCGCGAAAGCCAGGGGAGCAAACGGG
rnacentral:rRNA from 1 species